UUUAUCAUUUUCUAGGUUCUCUUUCUGUCUCCUGUAGAAGGAGCCUAAAUGGAAGGACCCAGUGGCUGUCCUGAAGACAAGUAUGGAGACAACUGGCACUGUGCAUGGAUGAAAGUGCUGUCUUUUCAUUUAGUCCUAAAUUCAGAAUAAAAAGACAAGGGUAUGGACAUUGACCAAGGAUAUAAAGGCACAGUACCUGCCCUGAAAACAUGGACACACCUGAAAAAGCAAAUAGAUUGGUGGAUAUUGUCAGCUGUAACAACAAGUAAUAGCUAGCAUAUAGGUAAUGCAGGCAUCACUAAACAUGUGCUGUGGAAUCAGGUACAGGAAUACCUCAGGG